GAGCAGUGGGGAAUUUUACUCAUUCGGCUAAGACCUGACCUAGGAAAGCCGCGUGAGUGAGGUGGACUUUCGCAGGGAAAGAGUUUAACCCGAAGGGAAUAAAUGAGUGACAUGGAAAUUGGGUAUGCUCUUCGGACCAUGAGCAAAUAAUACCGACGGCUAACUACGCG
rnacentral:rRNA from 1 species